GACAGAGGGGGCAAGCGUUGCCCGGAAUCACUGGGCGUAAAGGGCGCGUAGGCGGGACGCCAAGUCGGUCGUGAAAUCUCCGGGCUCAACCCGGAGGAGUCGGCCGAAACUGGUGUUCUUGAGGGAGGCAGAGGAGUCUGGAAUUCCCGGUGUAGCGGUGAAAUGUGUAGAGAUCGGGAGGAACACCGGUGGCGAAGGCGGGACUCUGGGCCUACCCUGACGCUGAGGCGCGAAGGCGUGGGGAGCAAACGGG
rnacentral:rRNA from 1 species